GGGUUAGUCUUCUAAUUGGUAAGAAACUUUUUUGUCAAGAAAGCAAAUGUCGGUUCGAACCCGACCUAGCCCG